GACGAACGCUGGCGGCGUGCCUAAUACAUGCAAGUUGAGCGAUGAAGAUUGGUGCUUGCACCAAAUUUGAAGAGCAGCGAAACGGGUGAGUAAACGCGUGGGGAAUCUGCCUUUUGAGCGGGGGGACAAACAUUUUGGAAACGAAUGCUAAUACCGCAUAACAACUUUAAACAUAAGUUUUAAGUUUGAAAGAUGCAAUUGCAUCACUCAAAGAUGAUCCCGCGUUGUAUUAGCUAGUUGGUGAGGUAAAGGCUCACCAAGGCGAUGAUACAUAGCCGACCUGAGAGGGUGAUCGGCCACAUUGGGACUGAGACACGGCCCAAACUCCUACGGGAGGCAGCAGUAGGGAAUCUUCGGCAAUGGACGAAAAAGUCUGACCGAGCAACGCCGCGUGAAGUGAAGAAGGUUUUCGGAAUCGUAAAACUCUGUUGGUAGAGAAGAACGUUGGUGAGAGUGGAAAGCUCAUCAAGUG
rnacentral:rRNA from 1 species